UACGAAGGGGGCGAGCGUUGUUCGGAAUUACUGGGCGUAAAGGGCGCGCAGGCGGCUCUGUUUGUCAGGCGUGAAAGCCCCGGGCUCAACCUGGGAACUGCGUUUGGGACGGCAGGGCUAGAGAUCGGGAGAGGAGAGUGGAAUUCCCAGUGUAGAGGUGAAAUUCGUAGAUAUUGGGAAGAACACCGGUGGCGAAGGCGGCUCUCUGGACCGAGACUGACGCUGAGGCGCGAAAGCGUGGGGAGCAAACAGG
rnacentral:rRNA from 1 species